GCUGGAAGUGGUUGGGCCGGAGGUGACUUCUUUAGGUGGUUUUGUAGAUGAAGUUGAAAUUGUCUCGGUUGUGGUUUCUUCAACUGUUGUCGUUCCACCUGUAGUAGGUGUCGUUGUUGUGGGUGCAAUUGUUGUUGUUGUUAAAGUAGUGGGAUUGGAAGUUAUGACAACUGGCCCUGUUGUUUCUUCACCUGUUGUUGUGGGCUGUGAUGUUGAAGUAGAGGUUUCAACAAUUACAGUGGUGGAAGUGGUUGUUGGGCCCGUGCGGACUUCUUUAGGUGGUUUUGUAGAUGGACUUGUCUCAUUUGUGGUUUCUUCACCUGUUGUCGUUCCACCUGUAGUAGGUGUCGUUGUUGUGGGUGCAAUUGUUGUUGUUGUUAAAGUAGUGGGAUUGGAAGUUAUGACAACUGGCCCUGUUGUUUCUUCACCUGUUGUUGUGGACUGUGAUGUUGAAGUAGAGGUUUCAGCAAUUACAGUGGUGGAAGUGGUUGUUGGGCCCGUUGGGACUUCUUUAGGUGGCUUUGUGGAUGUAGAUGGACUUGUCUCAUUUGUGGUUUCUUCAACUGUUGUCGUUCCACCUGUAGUAGGUGUUGUUGUUGUGGGUGCAAUUGUUGUUGUUGUUAAAGUAGUGGGAUUGGAAGUUAUGACAACUGGCCCUGUUGUUUCUUCACCUGUUGUUGCGGGCUGUGAUGUUGAAGUAGAGGUUUCAGCAAUUACAGUGGUGGAAGUGGUUGUUGGGCCCGUUGGGACUUCUUUAGGUGGUUUUGUAGAUGGACUUGUCUCAUUUGUGGUUUCUUCACCUGCUGUCGUUCCACCUGUAGUAGGUGUCGUUGCUGUGGGUGCAAUUGUUGUUGUUGUUACAGUAGUGGGAUUGGAUGUAAUGACAACUGGCCCUGUUGUUUCUUCACCUGUUGUUGUGGACUGUGAUGUUGAAGUAGAGGUUUCAACAAUUACAGUGGUGGAAGUGGUUGUUGGGCCCGUGGGGACUUCUUUAGGUGGCUUUGUGGCUGUAGAUGGAAUUGUCUCGGUUGUGGUUUCUUCAACUGUUGUCGUUCCACCUGUGGCAGGUGUCGUUGUUGUGGGUGCAAUUGUUGUUGUUGUUAAAGUAGUGGGAUUGGAAGUUAUGACAACUGGCCCUGUUGUUUCUUCACCUGUUGUUGCGGGCUGUGAUGUUGAAGUAGAGGUUUCAACAAUUACAGUGGUGGAAGUGGUUGUUGGGCCCGUUGGGACUUCUUUAGGUGGCUUUGUAGAUGGACUUGUCUCAUUUGUGGUUUCUUCAACUGUUGUCGUUCCACCUGUGGUAGGUGUCGUUGUUGUGGGUGCAAUUGUUGUUGUUGUUAAAGUAGUGGGAUUGGAAGUUAUGACAACUGGCCCUGUUGUUUCUUCACCUGUUGUUGCGGGCUGUGAUGUUGAAGUAGAGGUUUCAACAAUUACAGUGGUGGAAGUGGUUGUUGGGCCCGUGGGGACUUCUUUAGGUGGCUUUGUGGAUGUAGAUGGAUUUGUCUCAUUUGUGGUUUCUUCAACUGUUGUCGUUCCACCUGUAGUAGGUGUCGUUGUUGUGGGUGCAAUUGUUGUUGUUGUUACAGUAGUGGGAUUGGAUGUAAUGACAACUGGCCCUGUUGUUUCUUCACCUGUUGUUGUGGACUGUGAUGUUGAAGUAGAGGUUUCAGCAAUUACAGUGGUGGAAGUGGUUGUUGGGCCCGUUGGGACUUCUUUAGGUGGCUUUGUAGAUGGACUUGUCUCAUUUGUGGUUUCUUCAACUGUUGUCGUUCCACCUGUGGUAGGUGUCGUUGUUGUGGGUGCAAUUGUUGUUGUUGUUAAAGUAGUGGGAUUGGAAGUUAUGACAACUGGCCCUGUUGUUUCUUCACCUGUUGUUGCGGGCUGUGAUGUUGAAGUAGAGGUUUCAACAAUUACAGUGGUGGAAGUGGUUGUUGGGCCCGUGGGGACUUCUUUAGGUGGCUUUGUGGAUGUAGAUGGACUUGUCUCAUUUGUGGUUUCUUCAACUGUUGUCGUUCCACCUGUAGUAGGUGUCGUUGCUGUGGGUGCAAUUGUUGUUGUUGUUACAGUAGUGGGAUUGGAUGUAAUGACAACUGGCCCUGUUGUUUCUUCACCUGUUGUUGUGGACUGUGAUGUUGAAGUAGAGGUUUCAGCAAUUACAGUGGUGGAAGUGGUUGUUGGGCCCGUUGGGACUUCUUUAGGUGGUUUUGUAGAUGGACUUGUCUCAUUUGUGGUUUCUUCACCUGUUGUCGUUCCACCUGUAGUAGGUGUUGUAG